rnacentral:sRNA from 1 species
GCCAGGCACGGUGGCACACGCCUGUAAUCCCAGCAGCUCGGGAGGCUGAGACAGGAGGAUCGCAAGUUCAAAGCCAGGCUCAGCAAUGGCAAGGUGCUAAGCAACUCAGGGAGACCCUGUCUCUA